CAGGCCUAACACAUGCAAGUCGCACGAGAAAGGGAGCAMUCCCCGGGACGAGUGGCGCACGGGUGAGUGACACGUAGGUAAUCUUCCCUCGGAGUGGUGGAUAACCUUCCGAAAGGGAGGCUAAUACGAGCAUAAGACCACAGGGAGCGAAAGCUUCUGGGGUCAAAACCGGCCUCUAUACAUAAGCUGGCGCUUGAGGAUGAGCCUGCGGCCCAUCAGGUAGUUGGUAGGGUAAUGGCCUACCAAGCCUAAGACGGGUAGCUGCGUCUGAGUAGGAUGAUCAGCCACACUGGAACUGAGACACGGUCCAGACUCCUACGGGAGGCAGCAGUGGGGAAUCUUGCGCAAUGGGCGAAAGCUGUACGCAGCGACGCCGCGUGAGUGAUGAAGGCCUUCGGGUUGUAAAGCUCUGUGGGGAGAGACGAAUAAGCUCUGGCUAAUAUCCAGGGUGAUGACGGUAUCUCCUUAGCAAGCACCGGCUAACUCUGUGCCAGCAGCCGCGGUAAGACAGAGGGUGCAACGUUGUUCGGAAUUACUGGGCGUAAAGCGCAUGUAGGCGGCCUGGCAGGUCGGAUGUGAAAGCCCUCGGCUCAACCGAGGAAGUGCAUUCGAAACCGCCAGGCUCGAGUCCCGGAGAGGGUAGUGGAAUUCUCGGUGUAGAGGUGAAAUUCGUAGAUAUCGAGAGGAACACCGGUGGCGAAAGGGCCUACCUGGACGAGGACUGACGCUGAGAUGCGAAACGUUGGGGAGCAAACAGGAUUAGAUACCCUGGUAGUCCACGCCGUGAACGAUGGGUGCUAGGUGCUGCGGGCUUUGACCCCUGCUGUGCCGUAGCUAACGCAUUAAGCACCCGCCUGGGAAGUACGGCCGCAAGCUAAAACUCAAAGGAAUUCACGGGGGGCCGCACAAGCGG
rnacentral:rRNA from 1 species